GAAGAAGCAGAGAAUGAGUUUGAUGAAGAAAUAAGAAGAAAGAAAAUCUUGAGAGAAGGGAAGGAACUUGAAGAGCAAAAUUCAAGCUCAAAGCUAGAGCAUCCAUUAUCUAAGGUUCUCAGGUUGUGUUUGUUGGUGUUCGCGUUGUUGGUGAAAGCUCUGCUCUAAUUGUGACACGGGGAAGGGUUCAUAGAGUCUUUAUUUGUUGUUGUUUUAUUUAAAUUAAAUGUGUAUAUUGUAUAAAAGGAAUUUUGCACAAGUGAUAUUUACUACUCAAUUUUAUUA